rnacentral:rRNA from 1 species
GUGCCAGCAGCCGCGGUAAUACGGAGGGUGCAAGCGUUGCUCGGAAUCACUGGGCGUAAAGCGACCGCAGGCGGUCUGACAAGUCGGAUGUGAAAGCCCUGGGCUCAACCCAGGAAUUGCAUUCGAAACUGGCAGACUUGAGUACGAGAGAGGGGGUGGAAUUCCUGGUGUAGGGGUGAAAUUCGUUGAUAUCAGGAGGAACACCGGCGGCGAAGGCGGCCCCCUGGCUCGCAACUGACGCUCAUGGUCGAAAGCGUGGGGAGCAAACAGGAUUAGAAACCCCGGUAGUCC